CGGGGAGGCUCGUCCCCGAGUAGGGGACGGGAACGCCUGGGUCCCGGGGACGUGGGGCGCAGGGUCUGGGGCCCGAGGCCACGGACGAAGCGGGAAGCCGGCUAGGCAGCGGUCUCUGUCUGGGAUGGACGCCGCGCCCCACGCGGACCUCCCGCCCCGACUUCACCCAGCUCUGCUGCCCGUAACUCAUAUGACAAGAACAUCAGGAACCGGACUAUUACCCCGAAAGGGCCUUCCCAAGUCGUUUCGCCGCCUGCAAUGCCCGAUCGGGGGCCGCGCGUCCCCGGCAACCACGCCCGCCCGCGCAGCUGCAGAGGCCAGAAAAGGCCUGCUCGCCCGCGCUCCGCGCCACCCAGCCCGCGCUCCGGGCGAUACCACCCUGGGCGGCCCCUCCAAAGGCCGGAGAUGGUGUCGUCCCCGGCCUCCGAUUGGUCGGGGGGGCGGGGGCGUGGCCUCUGGAGCCUGGUUCCGCGCGCCGGAGCGCGCUAGCCGCAUUGCGAGCCGAACCCGGGAGCUGGCGCCAUGGUGCUGUUGCACGUGCUGUUUGAGCACGCGGUCGGCUACGCGCUGCUGGCGCUGAAGGAAGUGGAGGAGAUCAGUCUGCUGCAGCCGCAGGUGGAGGAGUCCGUGCUCAACCUGGGCAAAUUCCACAACAUCGUUCGUCUGGUGGCCUUUUGUCCCUUUGCCUCAUCCCAGGUUGCCUUGGAAAAUGCCAACGCCGUGUCUGAAGGGGUUGUUCAUGAGGACCUCCGCCUGCUCUUGGAGACCCACCUGCCGUCCAAAAAGAAGAAAGUACUCUUGGGAGUUGGGGAUCCCAAGAUUGGUGCUGCAAUACAGGAGGAGUUAGGGUACAACUGCCAGACUGGAGGAGUCAUAGCUGAGAUCCUGCGAGGAGUUCGUCUGCACUUCCACAAUCUGGUAAAGGGUCUGACCGAUCUGUCAGCUUGUAAAGCACAGCUGGGGCUGGGACACAGCUAUUCCCGUGCCAAAGUUAAGUUUAAUGUGAACCGGGUGGACAAUAUGAUCAUCCAGUCCAUUAGCCUCCUGGACCAGCUGGAUAAGGACAUCAAUACCUUCUCUAUGCGUGUCAGGGAGUGGUACGGGUAUCACUUUCCGGAGCUGGUGAAGAUCAUCAACGACAAUGCCACAUACUGCCGUCUUGCCCAGUUUAUUGGAAACCGAAGGGAACUGAAUGAGGACAAGCUGGAGAAGCUGGAGGAGCUGACAAUGGAUGGGGCCAAGGCUAAGGCUAUUCUGGAUGCCUCACGGUCCUCCAUGGGCAUGGACAUAUCUGCCAUUGACUUGAUAAACAUCGAGAGCUUCUCCAGUCGUGUGGUGUCUUUAUCUGAAUACCGCCAGAGCCUACACACCUACCUGCGCUCCAAGAUGAGCCAAGUAGCCCCCAGCCUGUCAGCCCUAAUUGGGGAAGCGGUAGGUGCACGUCUCAUCGCACAUGCUGGCAGCCUCACCAACCUGGCCAAGUAUCCAGCAUCCACAGUGCAGAUCCUUGGGGCUGAAAAGGCCCUGUUCAGAGCCCUGAAGACAAGGGGUAACACUCCAAAAUAUGGACUCAUUUUCCACUCCACCUUCAUUGGCCGAGCAGCCGCCAAGAACAAAGGCCGCAUCUCCCGAUACCUGGCAAACAAAUGCAGUAUUGCCUCACGAAUCGAUUGUUUCUCUGAGGUGCCCACGAGUGUAUUCGGGGAGAAGCUUCGAGAACAAGUUGAAGAGCGACUGUCCUUCUAUGAGACUGGAGAGAUACCACGAAAGAAUCUGGAUGUCAUGAAGGAAGCAAUGGUUCAGGCAGAGGAAGCGGCUGCUGAGAUUACUAGGAAGCUGGAGAAACAGGAGAAGAAACGCUUAAAGAAGGAAAAGAAACGGCUGGCUGCACUUGCCCUCGCGUCUUCAGAAAACAGCAGUAGUACUCCAGAGGAGUGUGAGGAAGGAGAUAGGUGCUGAACUUGCUCAAGAGCCCAGAGAGCUGGUUGUAGCUCACACUCGUUCCCUGGGCAUGUGUGUUCUGUCCUCGGCUGCCUCCCAGGAGUCCUCAACCUGGGGAGACGAGUGAAAAACCCAAAAAGAAGAAAAAGCAAAAGCCCCAGGAGGUUCCUCAGGAGAAUGGAAUGGAAGACCCACCUAUCUCUUUCUCCAAACCCAAGAAAAAGAAAUCUUUCUCCAAGGAGGAGUUGAUGAGUAGCGAUCUUGAAGAGACCGCUGGCAGCACCAGUAUUCCCAAGAGGAAGAGGUCUACACCCGAGGAGGAAACAGUUAAUGACCCUGAAGAGGCAGGCCACAGAAGUGGCUCCAAGAAAAAGAGGAAAUUCUCCAAAGAGGAGCCGGUCAGCAGUGGGCCUGAAGAGGCGGCUGGCAAGAGCACCUCCAAGAAGAAGAAAAAGUUCCAUAAAGCAUCCCAGGAAGAUUAGAAUGCAAAUGGACAUUCUCUGGGAGGUGGGGCAUACCAUAGCCCAAGGUGACAUUUCCCACCCUGUGCCGUGUUCCCCAAUAAAAAUAAAUUCACAAGA